AGCAGCCGCGGUAAUUCCAGCUCCAAUAGCGUAUAUUAAAGUUGUUGCAGUUAAAAAGCUCGUAGUUGAAUUUCGGGGUUAGUAGGUUGGUCGUGCCUCUGGUAUGUACUGGUCUCACUGAUUCCUCCUUCCUGAUAAGCCGUAAUGCCAUUAAUUUGGUGUUGCGAGGAAUUUGGACUGUUACUUUGAAAAAUUAGAGUGUUUAAAGCAAGCUAACGCUUGAAUACAUUAGCAUGGAAUAAUGAAAUAGGACGUUCGAUCCUAUUUUGUUGGUUUCUAGGAUUGACGUAAUGAUUAAUAGGGAUAGUUGGGGGCAUUAGUAUUCAAUUGUCAGAGGUGAAAUUCUUGGAUUUAUUGAAGACUAACUACUGCGAAAGCAUUUGCCAAGGAUGUUUUCAUUAAUCAAGAACGAAAGUUAGGGGAUCGAAGACGAUCAGAUACCGUCGUAGUCUUAACCAUAAACUAUGCCGACUAGGGAUCGGAUGAUGUUAAUUUUUAAUGUACUCAUUCGGCGCCUUAC
rnacentral:misc_RNA from 1 species